rnacentral:rRNA from 1 species
CCUACGGGUGGCAGCAGUCGAGAAUCAUUCACAAUGGGGGAAACCCUGAUGGAGCGACGCCGCGUGGGGGAAUGAAGGUCUGCGGAUUGUAAACCCCUGUCAUGAGGGAGCAAAUUAAAAAGAUAGUACCACAAGAGGAAGAGACGGCUAACGCGGUGCCAGCAGCCGCGGUAAUACAGAGGGCUCAAGCGUUGUUCGGAAUAACGGGGCGUAAAGGGGGCGUAGGCUGUUUCGUAAGUCGUGUGUGAAAGGCGCGGGCUCCACCCGCGGACGGCACAGGAUACUGCGAGACUAGGGUAAUGGAGGGGCAACCGGAAUUCUCGGUGUAGCCGUGAAAUGCGUAGAUAUCGCGAGGAACCCUCGUGGCGAAGGCGGGUUCCUGGACUUUACCUGACGCUGAGGCACGAAUGCCUGGGGAGCGAACAGGAUUAGAUACCCCUGUAGUC